CAGGCCCGCAAUUAUUAAACUCAAGAGUUUUACCUUAUAUACAUCAGCUCUGAAUUUUAGCAUACGAUCUUUAGGGUUCGUUUGAAUUAUUGGUGGCUUGAAUUGUUUGGGUUUGUAUAUUCUUACUGUUAUGAAUCUUAUGUUCUGAUUAUUAGGUUUUUCUAUUUGCUUUCGUUCGUUUGCAGCAAUCGUCACAAGGAUUACUCAAGAAGUCCAAACCGAGAAGAAGAAAAAAAAACGUCCUUGAUUUUCCAAAAUUGUUUAGGCUAAAAUUCAAAAAAAAAAAAAAAAAAAAAAAAAAAGGUCUGAUCCGUUUAUAUAUUGAUAUCUAACCCCGGCUCUUGAAAUCAGGUUUUGCGAUUUAAUUCAGAGUCAUUGCUAUUCAAAUUGAAUCCUGUCCAUGGAAGUUUUUAGUGACGAUCUAUUUUAUGAGGCUAAAUUAAGGGGAGGACGAAACAAAAAUGUUCCGUAAACCGAGUUUGUGGUUCAAUGGCUAUCUCUGCAGCUUGCUUUUACUAAUUUAACCCAUGUCGGGAGUCUUGCUUUAUUGGAGACCGACAACAAUUCUCCACAGAAUUCUCAAAGGGUUUGCUGAUGGAACAUAACAAUGUUUCAGAACUGGGAGAUUUUUGGAAGGAGAGAUUAAAGAUGAGGAAUAGCAGAAGCUACUCAAGUUUCAAUUCGAGAUUUUUUAUUAAUGGGGUUGUCAAUCAUCUCAUCAGGACCAACUCCCCUUCAACCUCUGACAUCAUUAAAUCAAAUUGGUUGUUAGCUACAAACAAUGAAUCAGCAACAAUCGACGGAGCAGAAGCAAGCAGGCUCACCACCAAUUUCUUUCCCGACAUGAGAUUUUGAUGCAGUUUGGCUAUUGUUUGAUUGGGUUCUGAAAUUGCAAGGGCAUCAGCAACAUCAAACUGAAGUUGUUAAUCUCAGUUACGUUUAAUUGUCGCUUCAGAUUUAAGGUAGAUAAUUCCGUUAUAUUACUUUUGAAAUUGUACCUUCAGAUAUUUUGGAUGCAGUUUGGCUAUUGUUUUGAUUGGAGGGCAUCAGCAACAGUUUGUUGGGGUUUUAAUCUAUAUAUAUAUAUAUAUACACUACAAACAUCCAUCCCAAAAAGCGAAAAUAGUGUUAGAAAGGGUCUCAAACUGAAUUUGUCAAUAGAAUCAUAUUAUUUUAGAAGUAAAUUUAUUUGUUGGGUCAAAAAAAAUUGAUCUUCUAAGUGUUUCAUUUUAUUGGUUAGGAUUUUGCUCCCAUCCUUGAUUAUCCAGGUAUCUCCUUAGCUUUUGUCACCAUUAAAAUCACAAUAACUCACUAAGGCUUCAGUGCUGUAUACUUUCACUUUGGAUGGCUUAUCCAUCGUAAUCAGGCACAUGUGUAUUUUAUUGAUAUGCAUUCCAGUGAUCAACUACCAGCUUUUGAUAUUAGUAGAGCUUCUGACUUGCACUGGAUGCAGUAGGAUGCGUCCCUGUGCUAUCAAUAGGAGAAAGUGGAGCUUAAGUGCUGCCAUAGGUGCUAAGGGUCAACCGAAUUUGAUGAUUAUUUGCCUCUAAUUAGCUCAUUAAAGAAGAUCGGAAACUUGGUGGAAUUCAGUUUGGCCAGGAAAUUAAACUCAACAUAAAGCAGGUAGAUCCAUGACGAUCGGUUGUAUUCAGAAAUAGGCUUUACUUGUACAUGUGAUUUUCAAGUCUCCUAUCAUAUACGAAAUCCCACGAGCUACAAAGGUAUGUAUGGCUUAGUACACUGGAAAUCCAAUGAAGUAUAUUCUUUUGAACUGCUGCAAUGCAGUUUUAAAAUGCGACUAAAUCCCAAAUCCCAAAAUCCCAUGCGCCAAAGGUGCACAAGCGGUUCAGCGUUUACUGGGAAUAUGCCGCGGUUCUGGAUAAAGCUAAUCCUAACCUAGCCACUAAUCGUAACCUUGCCCUGGGUGCAGUAGUAUGCAUUCCUGUGCUAGCAAUAGGAGAAGGUGGAGCUUAAGUGGUGGAGCAGUUAUAUUUGUAUUUAAGUAAACGUUUUUAUGAAUUUAACAAUUCCAGACUUUAGUAAACGUUUUUAUGAAUUUAACAAUUCCAGACUACGUGAUAAUGUUUCCUGUGGAUUUUUACUGCUUGGUGUGAACAUCCGAUGGUGAUGUUUGGAAAUGUUAUUGAUCAAACUGUAAGUGUAAUUUUAAUUUAUUUUGUAAACAAACAGUAAGUGUAAUUAACAGUUCAUAAGAGAUGUUCUGUAAAUACCUGAAAA